rnacentral:hammerhead_ribozyme from 1 species
AUCCAGUUGACGAGACCGAAAUAGGAUGAAACGCGCGUCCUGGAU